rnacentral:rRNA from 1 species
CAGCGCCACAAGUGGCAAUCACGUUUAUUGGGCCUAAAGCGUCCGUAGCCGGUUCAGCAAAUCUUUUGUGAAAUCGUCAGGCUUAACUUGACGAAUUGCAGAAGACACUACUAAACUAGGGACUGGGAGGAGUCAGAAGUAUUCUGGGGGGACAGGUAAAAUGGUAUAAUCCCCAGAGGACUACCGAUGGCGAAGGCAUCUGACCAGAACAGAUCCGACGGUGAGGGACGAAAGCCAGGGGAGCAAACCGGAUUAGAUACCCGAGUAGUCC